CUACGGGGCGCUGCAGUCGAGAAUCUUCCGCAAUGGACGAAAGUCUGACGGAGCGACGCCGCGUGCGGGAUGAAGGCCUUCGGGUUGUAAACCGCUGUCAGUGGGGAGGAAAUGCAUCAGGGUUCUCCCUGGUGUUUGACCGAUCCGCAGAGGAAGCGCAGGCUAAGUUCGUGCCAGCAGCCGCGGUAACACGAACUGCGCGAACGUUAUUCGGAAUCACUGGGCUUAAAGAGUUCGUAGGCGGCCUUUCAAGUCGGGUGUGAAAUCCCUCGGCUCAACCGAGGAAUUGCGCCUGAUACUGUUGGGCUUGAGGGGGAUAGGGGUGAGCGGAACUGAUGGUGGAGCGGUGAAAUGCGUUGAUAUCAUCAGGAACACCGGUGGCGAAGGCGGCUCACUGGAUCUCUUCUGACGCUGAGGAACGAAAGCUAGGGGAGCGAACGGGAUUAGAUACCCGAUGUAGUC
rnacentral:rRNA from 1 species